GUGAAUCAUCAAAUCUUUGAACGCAAAUUGCACUCUCUUCGGAGAGUAUGCCCGUUUGGGGUCCAGCCUCAAAAAAAUCGACAUAGUUGCUGUUAUGCGGUUACAUUCGUCGGCAAUCGGGUCAUCUUAAACCUUCGGGUUUAUGCGGCUUAAAAUCUUCUUUACGGUACCAAGAACGUUUCUAUGUUUCUAUUUUCUUAUACGUUUAAGGUAUUGAUCUUUAUUAGCCGCGGCUGUUGCAUUGGUUCUCGUCCAUAAAUAUUUCGCUAACUGA
rnacentral:misc_RNA from 1 species